CGCAAGCCGCCGCCGAGGGAUCGCGCGAAGGCGUGCGCCUCGGCACGUUUGCAGCGAGCCGCGCCGCCGUGCGAGCGAUCGGCCGCUCGAUUGCGCGCUCAAUCGAUCAACGUUCCCGUCGGCUCGAAGAACGGAUGCGGCCCAUCGCUCGCGUCGACGUACACGUGAUGCGACGCGAGCCCGGCGCCCGGCGCAUGGCGGUGCACGGCGAACGCGGGCGGCUCCAUCGAGAACGACGAAGGCCCGCCGUCGCGCAGAUCGAACGUGACCUGAUGCGCGGGCGCGGGCACGGCCGACGCGAUCGUGCCGCCGAAGCGCGCGAACAUCGUCCGAUGCACGUGGCCGCACAGCACGCGCUCGACGUUCGGAUGGCGGCGCAGCAGCGCGUCGAGCCGGCUCGACGCGUCCGGGGCGAGCCGCAUCGCGUCCAUGUGGCCGAUGCCGCACGCGAACGGCGGAUGAUGGAGCGCGACGAUCACGGGGCGAUCGCGCGCGGCGUCGAGCUGAUCGGCGAGCCAUGCGAGCCGCGCGUCGCACAGCGUGCCGCCGCUCGCGCCCGGAAUCUGCGAAUCGAGCGCGAUCACGCGCAGCGGCCCGAGAUCGAGCGCGUACUGGACGAACUCGCCCGAUUGCAGCUCGACGCGCGCGGGGAAGGCGCGCCGCAGCGCCGCGCGGUCGUCAUGGUUGCCGACGAGCAGGUAGUACGGCAUCGCGAGCGGCGCGAGCAGCGCUUUCAGGUGUGCGUAUUCGUCGUCGUCGCCGAAGUCGGUCAGGUCGCCCGUGACGAGCACCGCGUCCGGGCGCGGCUCGAGCGCGUUCAGCCGCGCGACGCAGCGCGCGAGAUGCGCGGCGGUAUCGACGCGCCGAUACGCGAGCGCGCCCGGCCGCUUGAUAUGCAGAUCGCUGAUGUGGGCAAGCAGCAUCAUCGUUCCUCGUUGUGAUUGUAUGGGGUUCGGGUCGUGUCUCGUUUGGUUCGGGGCGUCGGCGGCGUGCGCCGCGCAUCGCCUUCGCGCAUCAUGUGUCGCCGGUCGCCGGUCGCCGGUCGCCGGUCGCCGGUCGCACGAUGCACGAUGCACGAUGCACGAUGCACGGCGCGAGAGGCCUGUCGCGGGACGCAAGACCUCCGACGCAGUGCCCGCGCCGCGCGCACGCGCAUCACGCGAGUGCGAUGAGCCCCUCGGCCGCGAUCGCGACGCCGACCGCGGUGCCGCGCGCGAGAUCGACGCGGCCCGGCACGUCGAUGACGAGCGGGUCGGGCGCGGCGUGCUCGAUCGUCACGCGCGUGCGCUCGCCGAGGAAUGCGCAGUGCGCGACCGCGCCGCGCAGCGGCGCGUCCGACGGAUCGACGAGGCGCGCGUC
rnacentral:rRNA from 1 species